AAACUUGCCUUAAAAAAAAUGAGAGGAAACUCUCUGAAAGAGAGUUAAGGGCAGACCCUCAGAGCGCCGUGGUGUCUCUGUCAUCGGGUCCCCUACGCGCCUACGCGCCAUCGCCAAUCUCGCCGAGUACGGCGGUUUAAAAGGCAAAAAGCUUUCGUUUUUCUGGAUGUUUGCGAGAAAUCUGGCGGUGACGAAGGCUUGACGAUGGUCUACCAGAGGCGUUAAUCACGGCGUGACUCAGGGCCUAGAAUCAUGGCCUUGAUAGGGGCAUGAUCGGUGGCUGUUGAGACGGCGAGGCACUGAUGGGGCAUUGGAAACCUGAGACAGAGCAUUGAUGGCCG